GCAAAGCACUGUAUCAUGACACUAAGGAGCGCCGACAGUGAUCCUUGGUAGUCUUCGGUAUUCUUGGCGCAGUGGAGGAUCCAACGCGGUGUGGCCUGGUGCAGGCCUUAUGCUGAGGUGACGACGCAGUUCCCGCACAUGGCUUGUCUUUUGCGUCCGAUUAGCCUGUGACGCCUCGUCGCCCACGGACAGCAGCUUCAUCAUGCAUCAGUAGUGCUUAUAGGCCGCCUACUACUUCGCUUGCGAUGGCACCAACUAAGAAAACUGCUGCGCUGAGGAGCGCAGAAAGGCAACGACGUCGACGGGCGAAGCCCGCUUUGGUCCGGCGAGAGACACGCCAGCGCGAAGGAGAACGCUUUCGCGUGUUCGCGGCACAUGCUGUGAACUCUGCCACUUGCAUUGCGGAAGCUGAUCGCGCCGCGGAGGAGGAGGAGGAAUAAACAUUUAUUGAUGAGACAAAAAAAAAAAAGUGGCGGAAGGGAGCGGUGCAGGGUGGGUCCCUAUUCCAAGACUCCAGUGGCCAUCGCGACCCGCCCAGCUUGGUCCAAGAGGCCCUUCUGGGCCUCGAGGUCAGCAAGAGCGAGGAUGGCCUCCCAGGGCUCCCUUAGCAAGAUGUCCAAGCGCCCAUUCAAGCAUCUCGGGAAACGCAGUCUGCCGUUCUUUCGGUGGGCUGUACACGUUGCCAAUAAACGUUUUGGUUUUA